UACAGAGGGUGCGAGCGUUAAUCGGAAUUACUGGGCGUAAAGCGUGCGUAGACGGUUAUUUAAGUCGGGUGUGAAAGCCCCGGGCUCAACCUGGGAAUUGCAUUCGAGACUGAAUAGCUAGGGUACGGUAGAGGGAAGUGGAAUUUCCGGUGUAGCGGUGAAAUGCGUAGAUAUCGGAAGGAACAACAGUGGCGAAAGCGACUUCCUGGACCAGUACCGACGUUCAGGCACGAAAGCGUGGGGAGCAAACAGG
rnacentral:rRNA from 1 species